GAUGAACGCUGGCGGCGUGCCUAAUACAUGCAAGUCGAGCGAACGGACGAGAAGCUUGCUUCUCUGAUGUUAGCGGCGGACGGGUGAGUAACACGUGGAUAACCUACCUAUAAGACUGGGAUAACUUCGGGAAACCGGAGCUAAUACCGGAUAAUAUUUUGAACCGCAUGGUUCAAAAGUGAAAGACGGUCCUGCUGUCACUUAUAGAUGGAUCCGCGCUGCAUUAGCUAGUUGGUAAGGUAACGGCUUACCAAGGCAACGAUGCAUAGCCGACCUGAGAGGGUGAUCGGCCACACUGGAACUGAGACACGGUCCAGACUCCUACGGGAGGCAGCAGUAGGGAAUCUUCCGCAAUGGGCGAAAGCCUGACGGGGCAACGCCGCGUGAGUGAUGAAGGUCUUCGGAUCGUAAAACUCUGUUAUUAGGGAAGAACUUAUGUGUAAGUAACUGUGCACAUCUUGACGGUACCUAAUCAGAAAGCCACGGCUAACUACGUG
rnacentral:rRNA from 1 species